rnacentral:rRNA from 1 species
AUGAACGCUGGCGGCGUGCCUAAUACAUGCAAGUCGAGCGAACAGACGAGGAGCUUGCUCCUCUGACGUUAGCGGCGGACGGGUGAGUAACACGUGGAUAACCUACCUAUAAGACUGGGAUAACUUCGGGAAACCGGAGCUAAUACCGGAUAACAUGUUGAACCGCAUGGUUCAACAGUGAAAGACGGUCUUGCUGUCACUUAUAGACGGAUCCGCGCCGCAUUAGCUAGUUGGUAAGGUAACGGCUUACCAAGGCAACGAUGCGUAGCCGACCUGAGAGGGUGAUCGGCCACACUGGAACUGAGACACGGUCCAGACUCCUACGGGAGGCAGCAGUAGGGAAUCUUCCGCAAAGGGCGAAAGCCUGACGGAGCAACGCCGCGUGAGUGAAGAAGGUCUUCGGAUCGUAAAACUCUGUUAUUAGGGAAGAACAAAUGUGUAAGUAACUAUGCACGUCUUGACGGUACCUAAUCAGAAAGCCACGGCUAACUACGUG